ensembl:lncRNA
GAAAACAAAAACCAAACAACAAACAGCCAGCUUUCUGCUCAUGGAAAAACACGGAGAAAUAACAGGCAGCGCUGGGUCCGCAACGCCACCAGGAGCCCCCCACCAGCCCCACAAAUGUUGCUGCACUCGGGGGUCCCGUUCUGCACCCCCAGCCCAGCCGGCACCGAGGGCAGGAGCAUCUGGCCGGGGGUGUCGGGAGCGGGGGCUCAGCACUCGGCCCCCACCUCGCCCCGGUGCCGCCGCGCAUCCCCGCGCUCCCCAGGUUGCCACAGAAACGGCUCCGGCUCGGCCGGCUCCUGCCGUAAACACGCCACCGCCACGGGUCAGCCCGGUUCAGCGCCGCCAACACAGCCCACGGCGAGGCCUCGUGGAGCCGAGGGUCCCCGGUGUGGGAAGCGCCCGGUGUGGGGUGCACCCAGGCCGAGCACGGUUGGGUUCAGGCCAGGCUGCAGGAACGGGAACCGGGGCCGAGGCGGAAGCAAGAAAAGCAGCAAAAAGCAGGAACCCGAAAGCAAGAGCAGCCCCGAGUCCCCGUUUCUCCCCCCUCCCUCCCUGGGGACCCAGCGCUGCCCCUGCAGCGGCUGGAUCUGGAGGAGCAGCGCCGGGGACAAGCCGAGGUCCCGUUCAUCCUCGUGGGGCAGCGGGAUGGGGACGGGGACACCACCCACGGGACCGGCACCCGCGCUGGGGGGGCCACGGUGGGAGCCUGGGGUGGGCGAAGCACCAGGAGCAGCUCGGGGGUCCCCCAUGCUCAGGGAGCAGCUCGCAGCCCCCCCACCCCACGGAUGGGCGCGCAGAGGGGCGGCCACAUGCGGUGGCACUCGGGGACCGCGCUGCGCCCGGCUCUGACCUCUGCCACAGCUGGCAGUGGGCGCCGCCGCCGAGACCUUGCUUGGCUCUGCUCUGCUGCGUAUUAAAGUUUGAGCGUGAUGCAAUGUUUGCCUGUUGCUUUAGGAGGCUGAGGAGGCAGGGAUGGCGCUUGGCUCGGGCAGCCGGGGCUCGUGCUCGGCAGCUCGGCACAAAGCCGCCCUUGUGCGGCGAGGAGGGAGCUCGGACGGGCGGCCCCGUGCCCGCUGCAGGUUUCCCCUCGCUGGCCGGCAGAGAAAAAGGACGGAGGAGACGGCAGAGCCUCUCCCCCUUCGCAGGGCAGCAGUUUUGAAAGUUGCCCGGGGCUGCGGUGACUGCGCCAGCACGGGGACAAGCGACCGGCAUCCCCCUCGUCCCCUCUGAGCACCCACCCGCUCCGAAGGGGCCCCCGUCCUGACCCCGAGGGUGGCCACGACCGGACCCCGCAGCCCUCUUCCCCCUUUUCCCAGGGCACGGUACAGAUCCUGCCCUGCCCACGACGCUGCCCUCUGGCUCCCUGCCCCAGCCCCAUGGGGUAGAAAAGCCGGAGCCGUGCCCCGAAGCCACCGGAGCCCCCCCUGCCCCACAGCGUGGCCACGGGUCCAGCCAGGCGGGCAUCUCUCCCCCCACAGAACCAAGACCCGCACACCCCCUCGUGCUGCCCCCAGUAAGACAUCUCUGCUGGUACCAGCACCCCUGGGUCCCAUCGCUCUGCCCCAAAGUGCACGCACCCCCCGUGCCCCC